rnacentral:misc_RNA from 1 species
CUCGUGUAAAAUUUACCCUACGUAUGACUAACAUGAUUUAACUAGAAAGAGAGACAAAUAGAGAAUUACCUCAUUUGUAGGCUCAUCUGAAUGAACAAAAAAAUCAGCUUUAAGAUCCAUUGGCCACCCUAACUUCAAACAUUUGUCAGACCAAAAGUAUUCGUUUAGAUCAUCAUAAUUUCUCCAUUUUGAAUGGCUUGCCUUGCCUCCUUUGUUUCUCUUUGAUUCCUUUCGCACAACUUGGUAAAUUGGAGUUAUAACAUUCCUCAAAAAAACUUCAUGGUCAGGAGCUGCUGUUUCAUAUGUCUCUCCACUAACAGGAUGCACAUUGCUAUAUAACAUUCCAAAGACCUCAUUUGCCAUUUUAUGGAAAAUAUAGCAAAUGCAUUCCGGCAUGAAUCGAAUAUUUGAAGCUUCACCCCAUAUGAGAAGAUAGAGGCCAAUGUAGAUAAGCUCUAACUGUUGUUCAUUAGAACCCUGUGGAAACCUAAGAUGAUCUUCACAACGCAAGUAGUCACACCAUGAACGAUAGUUCUUAAAUAUUUUAUCCAUCAAUUGCUUUAUAGUGCCACUAUCAAGCAUAGAAUAAUUUUCGAGCGUCCUUUUCCUUGCAUCAAUAUUGGCUAGUAACAAUAUAAGGUGCUCCCUCUGAUUAGCCACAUUUCCUCUCUGAAAACCAAAAACAGAAGAAAGCCAAUCAAGGAUGUCAUUGACUGAUUUAACCCUUUCCUUAGGCAUGUCAUGUGGGGCAUCACGUGCCAGGCUAAUUCUAGGCAUUGGAAGAUUAUCCACAUUACGUAAAGCAUGAAGUGCAGCUUUGAUCUCAGGAAGUUCCAUAAUUGCAGGUUUUAUCCCUGCAGCAUACAAUGGAAGAAUGUUGUAAUGCUCAUACUGUUCCCUCAACCUUUCAACAUCCCGUGCAUAUCUUUUUGUCUCAUUUUCAAUUUUUGGAGCAGGUACAACUGCUAUCAGCACAUCAUAUAAUACUGCUGCAAUCUGAAGAAUCUUAGCCAUCUCUUCCGGUUUUUUCACAUAUUGGCCUUCUUUUACAUUGUCCACAUAGAAUUUCUGGUAAUAUAGCUGGAUUUCUUUUGGAUCAGUUCCUGCAAGCUGACGUUGUGUUUCAAGUUCUUCCUUCUCAAGCCUAUGCAACAGAUAGGUCUUGAACUGACGAACACCACGUCCACUUGAGUUUGGGUCCAUCCUGUGAGCCUUCUCAAGAGCAUGGAAGCGGCAGAGAUAGGCAACUCUGGGAUUGUCCUUCUCAACCUCAUUAGCUACACGAAGAAUGGGAGCGAUAAACGACAUAGAAGACGGGACAAGUUCGCUAUCGAAAGCAGAAGUAUCCUCAUCAGGCAAAUUGACCAUCAUUGUCUGAGCCCGAGUCAUCCUCCGAGACAGCGAGCGGGGCGGGCCCGCAUCGCUCUUGGUCCCGCUGGAACUAGCCAUCGGGAUCAAUCACAGCCAGAAUUACAAUGACUUGGAUGAUUAUGAUACUGAAGAUACAAACGAAAAGCAAGAGAAUGGCAGAUUGGGGUUUGAGAGAAUUGCAAAUGGUAAGGAGCGAACAAUGUUUAGUUUCGGUAUAAAAGAGAGACGCCAUUUGGAAAGAGAUGCUUUGGGUGUAGAGUGGGGCAAAGCCAAAGUGAUUGCUCAGAUAGCAAGAAAAGAAUUAAUCUCUUUGAAUUAGUGCUUUUGCUUUAUUGUAUAAACAAAUGAGCAAUCGAAAACUGGCUUCUUCUUUUUUUUUUUCUGAAG